AUAAAUAGGAGACGCGUUUUGCUGCAGUCUUGUUUGAGGGCUUUCGCAGAGAUUGGGAAAACAAAAUUGCGUUCAGGCGCAGAGAAAAACCUUGUAACUGCAUUACCAACCACCACCUCCUCUGUUGAAUGCUCUUGAACGCGCUGACAGUUAAAUCAAGGAGUGCGGUAAGCUGCUCAGGUGUUUCUAUAAGAACAUUACAAUCUGGAAUAGAGGUUCUUGUGAAACUUUUGUUCAGCUGGGUAGGCACUUGCUUCCCCAGCCAAGUGCAAUUGAAGAUAUGAAAGUUUUCCUGGGGGAUUAUGUUUCUUUCAAUGCAUCUCCUCCAUUUCAGCUGGUCAAGCAUCAACAGUAAUGUUGGCUACUUAUCUCAAUAAUUUUCAUUUUUUUUACUUUUUGUUUUGGUUGUUGUUGAAGAGGGGUUGUAAGAGUUUGCUGUAAACAUCUGCAAUAAUGCAUUCGAGGUUUUCUUCCUACUGCAUCA